CCUACGGGUGGCAGCAGUGGGGAAUAUUGGACAAUGGGCGAAAGCCUGAUCCAGCCAUGCCGCGUGUGUGAAGAAGGCCUUCGGGUUGUAAGGCACUUUCAGUGGGGAAGAAAGCCUUGGGGCUAAUACCCUCGAGGAAGGACAUCACCCACAGAAGAAGCACCGGCUAACUCCGUGCCAGCAGCCGCGGUAAUACGGAGGGUGCGAGCGUUAAUCGGAAUUACUGGGCGUAAAGCGCGCGUAGGCGGUCUGAUAAGCCGGUUGUGAAAGCCCCGGGCUCAACCUGGGAACGGCAUCCGGAACUGUCAGGCUAGAGUGCAGGAGAGGAAGGUAGAAUUCCCGGUGUAGCGGUGAAAUGCGUAGAGAUCGGGAGGAAUACCAGUGGCGAAGGCGGUCUUCUGGACUGACACUGACGCUGAGGUGCGAAAGCGUGGGUAGCAAACAGGAUUAGAUACCCCGGUAGUC
rnacentral:rRNA from 1 species